rnacentral:rRNA from 1 species
UGGGGGAUAUUGCACAAUGGGCGAAAGCCUGAUGCAGCGACGCCGCGUGGGGGAUGAAGGCCUUCGGGUUGUAAACUUCUUUUGCUCUGAACAAGGCAUGCCUUUGGGGUGUGUUGAGUGUAGGGGUUGAUUAGCGCCGGCUAACUACGUGCCAGCAGCCGCGGUAAUACGUAGGGCGCGAGCGUUUUCCGGAAUUAUUGGGCGUAAAGGGCUUGUAGGUGGCUGGUUGCGUCUGUCGUGAAAGCUCAUGGCUUAACUGUGGGUUUGCGGUGGGUACGGGCUGGCUUGAGUGCAGUAGGGGAGGCUGGAAUUCCUGGUGUAGCGGUGGAAUGCGAAGAUAUCAGGAGGAAUACCGGUGGCAAAGGCGGGUCUCUGGGCUGUUACUGACGCUGAGGAGCGAAAGCGUGGGGAGCGAACAGG